rnacentral:rRNA from 1 species
GACGAACGCUGGCGGCGUGCUUAACACAUGCAAGUCGAGCGGUAAGGCCCUUUCGGGGGUACACGAGCGGCGAACGGGUGAGUAACACGUGGGUGACCUGCCCUUAGCUCUGGGAUAAGCCUGGGAAACUGGGUCUAAUACCGGAUAUGACUCCAUGACGCAUGUUGUGGGGUGGAAAGCCUUGUGCGGCUAGGGAUGGGCCCGCGGCCUAUCAGCUUGUUGGUGGGGUGAUGGCCUACCAAGGCGACGACGGGUAGCCGGCCUGAGAGGGCGACCGGCCACACUGGGACUGAGACACGGCCCAGACUCCUACGGGAGGCAGCAGUGGGGAAUCUUGCGCAAUGGGCGAAAGCCUGACGCAGCGACGCCGCGUGGGGAGUGACGGCCUCGUGUAC